UAAGGAAUAUUGGUCAAUGGACGCAAGUCUGAACCAGCCAUGCCGCGUGAAGGAUGAAGGUCCUCUGGAUUGUAAACUUCUUUUAUCUGGGACGAAAACGGGAUUUUUAUCUCAAUUGACGGUACCAGAGGAAUAAGCACCGGCUAACUCCGUGCCAGCAGCCGCGGUAAUACGGAGGGCGCGAGCGUUAUCCGGAUUUACUGGGUUUAAAGGGUGCGUAGGUGGGCUUAUAAGUCAGUGGUGAAAUCUCCGAGCUUAACUUGGAAACUGCCGUUGAUACUAUAGGUCUUGAAUUAUCUGGAGGUAAGCGGAAUAUGUCAUGUAGCGGUGAAAUGCUUAGAUAUGACAUAGAACACCAAUUGCGAAGGCAGCUUACUACAUAUAAAUUGACGCUGAGGCACGAAAGCGUGGGGAUCAAACA
rnacentral:rRNA from 1 species